GAUGAACGUUGGCGGUGUGCCUAAUACAUGCAAGUCGAACGGAGUCAGUAGCAAUAUUGGCUCAGUGGCGAACGGGUGAGUAACGCGUUGGUGAUCUGCCUUGAAGUGUGGAAUAACGUUUCGAAAGAGACGCUAAUACCGCAUGUGCUCUCGAUUUUCAGAAAGUUGAGAGUAAAGGAUUUAUUCGCUUCAAGAGGAGCCUGCGUCCCAUCAGCUGGUUGGUAGGGUAACGGCCUACCAAGGCUAUGACGGGUAGGGGACCUGAGAGGGUGGCCCCCCACAAUGGAACUGAAACACGGUCCAUACACCUACGGGUGGCAGCAGUAGGGAAUAUUAGAAAUGGACGAAAGUCUGAUCUAGCAACACCGCGUGUGCGAAGAAGGCCUUGGGUCGUAAAGCACUUUUUGGAAGGAAUAGGAAGGAAUGUACUUCCAGAAUAAGUCUCGGCUAACUACGUG
rnacentral:rRNA from 1 species